rnacentral:rRNA from 1 species
GACGAACGCUGGCGGCGUGCUUAACACAUGCAAGUCGAACGGAAAGGCCCUGCUUUUGUGGGGUGCUCGAGUGGCGAACGGGUGAGUAACACGUGAGUAACCUGCCCUUGACUUUGGGAUAACUUCAGGAAACUGGGGCUAAUACCGGAUAGGAGCUCCUGCUGCAUGGUGGGGGUUGGAAAGUUUCGGCGGUUGGGGAUGGACUCGCGGCUUAUCAGCUUGUUGGUGGGGUAGUGGCUUACCAAGGCUUUGACGGGUAGCCGGCCUGAGAGGGUGACCGGCCACAUUGGGACUGAGAUGCGGCCCAGACUCCUACGGGAGGCAGCAGUGGGGAAUAUUGCACAAUGGGCGGAAGCCUGAUGCAGCAACGCCGCGUGCGGGAUGACGGCCUUCGGGUUGUAAACCGCUUUCGCCUGUGACGAAGCGUGAGUGACGGUAAUGGGUAAAGAAGCACCGGCUAACUACGUGCCAGCAGCCGCGGUGAUACGUAGGGUGCGAGCGUUGUCCGGAUUUAUUGGGCGUAAAGGGCUCGUAGGUGGUUGAUCGCGUCGGAAGUGUAAUCUUGGGGCUUAACCCUGAGCGUGCUUUCGAUACGGGUUGACUUGAGGAAGGUAGGGGAGAAUGGAAUUCCUGGUGGAGCGGUGGAAUGCGCAGAUAUCAGGAGGAACACCAGUGGCGAAGGCGGUUCUCUGGGCCUUUCCUGACGCUGAGGAGCGAAAGCGUGGGGAGCGAACAGGCUUAGAUACCCUGGUAGUCCACGCUGUAAACGGUGGGUACUAGGUGUGGGGUCCAUUCCACGGGUUCCGUGCCGUAGCUAACGCUUUAAGUACCCCGCCUGGGGAGUACGGCCGCAAGGCUAAAACUCAAAGGAAUUGACGGGGCCCCGCACAAGCGGCGGAGCAUGCGGAUUAAUUCGAUGCAACGCGUAGAACCUUACCUGGGUUUGACAUGGAUCGGGAGCGCUCAGAGAUGGGUGUGCCUCUUUUGGGGUCGGUUCACAGGUGGUGCAUGGCUGUCGUCAGCUCGUGUCGUGAGAUGUUGGGUUAAGUCCCGCAACGAGCGCAACCCUUGUUCACUGUUGCCAGCACGUUAUGGUGGGGACUCAGUGGAGACCGCCGGGGUCAACUCGGAGGAAGGUGGGGAUGACGUCAAGUCAUCAUGCCCCUUAUGUCCAGGGCUUCACGCAUGCUACAAUGGCUGGUACAGAGAGUGGCGAGCCUGUGAGGGUGAGCGAAUCUCGGAAAGCCGGUCUCAGUUCGGAUUGGGGUCUGCAACUCGACCUCAUGAAGUCGGAGUCGCUAGUAAUCGCAGAUCAGCAACGCUGCGGUGAAUACGUUCCCGGG